rnacentral:rRNA from 1 species
AUUGAACGCUGGCGGCAUGCCUUACACAUGCAAGUCGAACGGCAGCACGGGAGCAAUCCUGGUGGCGAGUGGCGAACGGGUGAGUAAUAUAUCGGAACGUGCCCGGUCGUGGGGAUAACGUAGCGAAAGCUACGCUAAUACCGCAUACGAUCUACGGAUGAAAGCGGGGGAUCGCAAGACCUCGCGCGAUUGGAGCGGCCGAUAUCAGAUUAGGUAGUUGGUGAGGUAAAGGCUCACCAAGCCGACGAUCUGUAGCUGGUCUGAGAGGACGACCAGCCACACUGGGACUGAGACACGGCCCAGACUCCUACGGGAGGCAGCAGUGGGAAUUUUGGACAAUGGGCGGCAAGCCUGAUCCAGCAAUGCCGCGUGCAGGAUGAAGGCC